GAUGAACGCUGGCGGCGUGCCUAAUACAUGCAAGUCGAGCGAACAGACGAGGAGCUUGCUCCUCUGACGUUAGCGGCGGACGGGUGAGUAACACGUGGAUAACCUACCUAUAAGACUGGGAUAACUUCGGGAAACCGGAGCUAAUACCGGAUAAUAUAUUGAACCGCAUGGUUCAAUAGUGAAAGACGGUUUUGCUGUCACUUAUAGAUGGAUCCGCGCCGCAUUAGCUAGUUGGUAAGGUAACGGCUUACCAAGGCGACGAUGCGUUGCCGACCUGAGAGGGUGAUCGGCCACACUGGAACUGAGACACGGUCCAGACUCCUACGGGAGGCAGCAGUAGGGAAUCUUCCGCAAUGGGCGAAAGCCUGACGGAGCAACGCCGCGUGAGUGAUGAAGGUCUUCGGAUCGUAAAACUCUGUUAUUAGGGAAGAACAAAUGUGUAAGUAACCAUGCACGUCUUGACGGUACCUAAUCAGAAAGCCACGGCUAACUACGUG
rnacentral:rRNA from 1 species